UACGGAGGGUGCAAGCGUUAAUCGGAAUUACUGGGCGUAAAGGGCGCGUAGGCGGUCCGUUAAGCCAGAUGUGAAAGCCCCGGGCUCAACCUGGGAAUGGCAUUUGGAACUGGCGGACUUGAGUGCAGGAGAGGAAGGUAGAAUUCCAGGUGUAGCGGUGAAAUGCGUAGAGAUCUGGAGGAAUACCAGUGGCGAAGGCGGCCUUCUGGACUGACACUGACGCUGAGGCGCGAAAGCGUGGGUAGCAAACAGG
rnacentral:misc_RNA from 1 species